rnacentral:rRNA from 1 species
UGGGGAAUUUUGGACAAUGGGGGAAACCCUGAUCCAGCCAUCCCGCGUGUGCGAUGAAGGCCUUCGGGUUGUAAAGCACUUUUGGCAGGAAAGAAACGUCGCGGGUUAAUACCCCGCGAAACUGACGGUACCUGCAGAAUAAGCACCGGCUAACUACGUGCCAGCAGCCGCGGUAAUACGUAGGGUGCAAGCGUUAAUCGGAAUUACUGGGCGUAAAGCGUGCGCAGGCGGUUCGGAAAGAAAGAUGUGAAAUCCCAGAGCUUAACUUUGGAACUGCAUUUUUAACUACCGGGCUAGAGUGUGUCAGAGGGAGGUGGAAUUCCGCGUGUAGCAGUGAAAUGCGUAGAUAUGCGGAGGAACACCGAUGGCGAAGGCAGCCUCCUGGGAUAACACUGACGCUCAUGCACGAAAGCGUGGGGAGCAAACAGGAUUAGAUACCCUGGUAGUCCACGCCCUAAAACGAUGUCAACUAGCUGUUGGGGCCUUCGGGCCUUGGUAGCGCAGCUAACGCGUGAAGUUGACCGCCUGGGGAGUACGGUCGCAAGGUUAAAACGUUAAAGGAAUUGACGGGGUCAUAGCUGUUUUUCU